rnacentral:rRNA from 1 species
GACGAACGCUGGCGGCGUGCUUAACACAUGCAAGUCGAACGGUGAAGCGCCUUCCUUUUUGGUGGGUGUGGAUGAGUGGCGAACGGGUGAGUAACCCGUGAGUAACCUGCCCCCUUCUUCUGGAUAACCGCAUGAAAGUGUGGCUAAUACGGGAUAUUCUGGGUCUGUCGCAUGAUGGGUCUGGGAAAGAUAUUGUUUCGGUGGGGGAUGGGCUCGCGGCCUAUCAGCUUGUUGGUGGGGUGAUGGCCUACCAAGGCGGUGACGGGUAGCCGGCCUGGGAGGGUGGACGGUCACACUGGGACUGAGACACGGCCCAGACUCCUACGGGAGGCAGCAGUGGGGAAUAUUGAACAGUGGGCGCAAGCGUGAUGCAGCGACGCCGCGGGAGGGAUGGAGGCCUUCGGGUUGUGAACCUCUUUCGCCAGUGAAGCAGGCCUGCCUCGUUUGUGGGUGGGUUGACGGUAGCUGGAUAAGAAGCGCCGGCUAACUACGUG